CCCCGCAACAUUCUGUAUGUAUGUUUCUAUCCCUAGUCAGGAGUCGGUCAUUCAGUGGUUGUCCUUUGUUUAUGUGUUACAUAUUUGUUUUUGAUAGAUUGGACUGUUAGAUCUCUCGUUUGAAUUGUUUUACAAUGUCAUUUCGGGGCCUUUUAUAGCUGACUAUACGGUAUGGGCUUUGCUAAUUGUUGAUGGCCAUACUGUGCCCUAUAGUUGUUAACUUCUGUGUCAUUUGAUCUCUUGUGGAGAGUAGUCUCAUUGGCAAUCAUACCACAUCUUCUCUUUGACAUAAAAUAUUUUAACCUUCGUUUUAAAAAAACACAUGUCCAAAAC
rnacentral:lncRNA from 1 species